rnacentral:rRNA from 1 species
GAGGCAGCAGUGGGGAAUUUUGCGCAAUGGGGGAAACCCUGACGCAGCAACGCCGCGUGGAGGAUGAAGUCCCUUGGGACGUAAACUCCUUUCGACCGGGACGAUUAUGACGGUACCCCAGGAGGAAGCCCCGGCUAACUUCGUGCCAGCACCCGCGGUAAUACGAGGGGGGCAAGCGUUGUUCGGAAUUAUUGGGCGUAAAGGGCGCGUAGGCGGUCUUAUAAUUCUUAUGUGAAAUCUUCGGGCUCAACUCUGAGUGGCCACNGGAAACUGCGGNACUUGAGUGCGGGAGAGGGGAGUGGAAUUCUCCGUGUAGCGGCGAAAUAUGUAGAUGUUUGGAGAAACACCUGUGGCGAAAGCGGCUUUCUGGGCCGUAACUGACGCUGAGACGCGAAAGCUCGGGGAGCAAACACGAUUAGAUAUCCUGGUAGUCCCCGCGCUAAACGAUGAUGUCCUUGGUGUGGCGGGUCCUCACCCCUCAGUGCCGCAGCUAACGCAUAAGC